GACAGCAGCUGAGCAUUUUACUUCACUUCACUUUUAUAUCAACAACAAUGCUGUCAUUAUCAGUGUUGCUGCUGCUUUCAGCUGCAUUCUGUGGUGUUGGAGGUGUGGAGCUCACUCAGACAGACUCUGUGCUGGUGAAGCCUGGAGAGUCGUUCUCCAUCUCUUGUAAGAUCUCAGUGUCGAGUUAUUGUAUUAACUGGAUACGGCAACCUGCUGUAAAAGCACUGGAAUGGCUCGGAUAUCUUUGUAGCGGUGAUAGCACUAAUCUCAAAGACACGAUGAAGAGUAAGAUUAGUCUCAGCCAGGACAAAUCCAGCAGCACAGUUUAUUUAAGAGGACAAAACUUUCAGGUGGAGGACACGGCUGUGUAUUACUGUGCCAGA